CGGGGGCCGAGUAGAGUGGCGCACGGGUGAGUAACACGUAGGUAAUCUACCUCUGGGUGGGGAAUAACAGCCGGAAACGGCUGCUAAUGCCGCAUAACGCAGCGGCACCACAUGGUGACAGUUGUUAAAGCGGGGGAUUCUUCGGAACCUCGCGCCUAGAGAGGAGCCUGCGGCAGAUUAGGUAGUUGGUGAGGUAAUGGCUCACCAAGCCUCCGAUCUGUAGCCGGCCUGAGAGGGCGGUCGGCCACACUGGCACUGACAUACGGGCCAGACUCCUACGGGAGGCAGCAGUCGGGAAUUUUGGGCAAUGGGCGAAAGCCUGACCCAGCAACGCCGCGUGAAGGAUGAAGUUUUUCGGAAUGUAAACUUCGUAAGAUUGGGACGAAUAAGGAGGGGUUAAUACCCCCUUCGAUGACGGUACCAUUUGUAAGCCCCGGCUAACUCCGUGCCAGCAGCCGCGGUAAUACGGGGGGGGCAAGCGUUGUUCGGAUUUACUGGGCGUAAAGGGCGCGUAGGCGGCGCAACAAGUCACUUGUGAAAUCUCCGGGCUUAACUCGGAGCGGCCAAGUGAUACUGUCGUGCUAGAGUGCGGAAGGGGCAACUGGAAUUCUCGGUGUAGCGGUGAAAUGCGUAGAUAUCGAGAGGAACACCUGCGGCGAAGGCGGGUUGCUGGGCCGACACUGACGCUGAGGCGCGAAAGCCAGGGGAGCGAACGGGGAUAGAUACCCCGG
rnacentral:rRNA from 1 species